UACGUAGGGGGCAAGCGUUAUCCGGAAUCAUUGGGCGUAAAGCGCGUGUAGGCGGUUCCGUAAGUCCGCUCUGAAAGCCCCAGGGCUCAACCCUGGGAGGCGGGUGGAUACUACGGAACUGGAGUACGGAAGAGGAGAUUGGAAUUCCUGGUGUAGCGGUGAAAUGCGCAGAUAUCGGGAGGAACACCAAUGGCGAAGGCAGCUCGCUGGGACGUGACUGACGCUGAGACGCGAAAGCGUGGGGAGCAAACAGG
rnacentral:rRNA from 1 species